GAUGUCAUCUGAGCUAAGUGUUAUGAGAUGAGAGUGGAACUCAAGUUAAUAAACCGCUGCCUUGCAGGAGAAGAGAACUUGUUCACAUGUAAUCCUCUGUACAGAGACCACACGCUCACACUGUCAUGCACCCAAUUAUACUUCAAUACAUACAUCUGUUCUUUAUGCCUUGCCCCAGCUGGAUGGGAGAAGAUGCAGGCGAGGAAAUGGGAUAGAGGUGAAGACAGUAAGAAGGAACAAUUGCUUACAGUACUUCRUCUCUCUUGGAUUUGUUUCCUGUUUUUUGCCAAUGGAAAUCAAAGAAAAUGGAGGAGGCUUCCCUGCAGUGAUCUUCAGAACUCCUUGUCUUCACCUGGAUAUCGGUCUGGGACUGGCCACACAGGCAUGACUACAGGAUUCCUUCCACAUCAUGGCUUCCUCAUGAGAUGUGGAGAGGAGGAAAUCUUAAAAAAGAAAAAAGAAGACACUCAGCAUAUCAGUAUGAAGUGGUAUCAUACCAUGAGUUAUGUCACUGCUGCAGGGACCAACCAAAUAUUUUGAAAACAAGUUUGCUAGCCUGGAAGAUCAAAGUGAUAUCUGACCAAUGGUUCCCAGUACCUGAAAUCUGAGCCAACUUAUCUCUCUGUGGAGGUGAACAUUAAAAUCUUAUUUUUCAUUCUCAUUUGUCUCAGACUUUUUAGAAUUGUAUUUAUGCUUUUUYUUAGACUAGGAUAUUUUUACUUAAUACCUGGAAAGCACUGACAAAAUAUGGUUAGGGAAAAAGAAUUUGAAUGUAAGAGGACACUCUAGACCCUUGUUUUUGGAACUGUUCAUUUCAGUAAUAAAAAAAAAAUCACUGGGUGUAUGACUAAAAUG
rnacentral:lncRNA from 1 species